GGGCCCGCACAAGCGGUGGAGCAUGUGGUUUAAUUCGAUGAUACGCGAGGAACCUUACCAGGGCUUAAAUGUAAGUUGCAUUAGUUAGAGAUAGCUAUUUCUUCGGACCACUUACAAGGUGCUGCAUGGUUGUCGUCAGCUCGUGCCGUGAGGUGUCAGGUUAAGUCCUAUAACGAGCGCAACCCCUGUUGUUAGUUGCCAGCGAGUCAUGUCGGGAACUCUAACAAGACUGCCGGUGCAAACCGUGAGGAAGGUGGGGAUGACGUCAAGUCCUCAUGGCCCUUACAGGCUGGGCUACACACGUGCUACAAUGGCGAUGACAGUGGGCAGCGACCCCGCAAGGGUGAGCU
rnacentral:rRNA from 1 species